rnacentral:rRNA from 1 species
CAUAGCCACGGUAACACGUAGGGUGCAAGCGUUAAUCGGAAUUACUGGGCGUAAAGCGCGCGUAGGUGGUUCAUUAAGUUGGAUGUGAAAGCCCUGGGCUCAACCUGGGAACUGCAUCCAAAACUGGUGAGCUAGAGUACGGUAGAGGGUAGUGGAAUUUCCUGUGUAGCGGUGAAAUGCGUAGAUAUAGGAAGGAACACCAGUGGCGAAGGCGACUACCUGGACUGAUACUGACACUAAGGUGCGAAAGCGUGGGGAGCAAACAGGAUUAGAUACCCGCGUAGUCCCUGUCUCUUAUACA